rnacentral:rRNA from 1 species
UACGAAGGGUGCAAACGUUGCUCGGAAUUAUUGGGCGUAAAGCGCACGUAGGCGGCUUCGCAAGUCCGGGGUGAAAGCCCCCAGCUCAACUGGGGAAGUGCCUUGGAUACUGCGGAGCUCGAGGGGGAUAGGGGUCGUGGGAACUUCCGGUGGAGCGGUGAAAUGCGUUGAUAUCGGAAGGAACGCCGGUGGCGAAAGCGCACGACUGGGUCCCUACUGACGCUGAGGCGCGAAAGCCAGGGGAGCAAACGGG